CACAUACCAAGCUAGAGUUCAAUUAGAAAGUUGGAGAUCAGUAACUCCAGAACACUGGCCAGAGGGUCAGAAGAGCUGACUCGUGGACAUUCUCAUUGUGGGUGCAGCUCAGUUGCCGUGAUGCUCCUUGAGUCAAUGAGCUCUUUGGUCUGCUCUUCUGCUCAAGCAGAAAAGGAUUGGCACUUCACCCUUGAGAAGCUGACAAGAACCACAGGCUUCUUCAGGCAGGUGGUGGAACAUGGGUGUAUCCUGCAGGUGCUCACAGUAUCUCCCUUUGCUCAGGUGACGGAGGCUUGGGGUUUUCCAGCUCUUGACCUAAAAUUCCUGAAUGAUUGUUUUCAAAUUUCUUAAUGAAUAAUAGGAUGAACUUGCCACCCCUGUCAGGGGGGAAUGGGGUUCCUGAAAGCUGAGAGGCCAGGAUCCAGAUCCUGAGCCUCUUCACCAAGCAGAUGCUGUAGAGCAAAGGCAGCAACUAUCUAUCUAUCUAUCUAUCUAUCUAUCUAUCUAUCUAUCUAUCAUCUAUCUAUCUUUCCCCUUCCCUUUAAGGAAAUCCUCAGGACUAGGUGAGAUCUUAGAUCUAGUGGAGAAUCUGAGCUGCUCCAAGCAAAACCUCAGGAUCCU
rnacentral:lncRNA from 10 species